GCCCGGCUGGCACAAUUGGUUAGCGCGUGAGACUUUUAAUCUCAAGGCUCAGGGUUCGGUAAGCGUCAACCGUGUU